rnacentral:rRNA from 1 species
GACGAACGCCGGCGGCGUGCUUAACACAUGCAAGUCGAGCGGAAAACUUCGGUUUUCAGCGGCGGACGGGUGAGUAACACGUGGGCAACCUGCCUCACAAUGAGGGAUAGCCUUCCGAAAGGAAGAUUAAUACCUCAUAACACAAGAGAAACGCAUGUUUCUCUUGCCAAAGAAUUUCGUUGUGAGAUGGGCCCGCGGCGCAUUAGCUUGUUUGGGAGGUAACGGCUCAACAAGGCUUUGAUGCGUAGCCGACCUGAGAGGGUGAUCGGCCACAUUGGAACUGAGACACGGUCCAGACUCCUACGGGAGGCAGCAGUGGGGAAUAUUGCAAAAUGGAGGAAACUCUGAUGCAGCAAUGCCGCGUGAGUGAUGAAGGUCUUCGGAUUGUAAAACUCUGUCUUCUGGGACGAUAAUGACGGUACCAGAGGAGGAAGCCACGGCUAACUACGUGCCAGCCGCCGCAGUAA